rnacentral:rRNA from 1 species
UACAGAGGUCCCAAGCGUUGUUCGGAUUCACUGGGCGUAAAGGGUGCGUAGGUGGUUGGGUAAGUCUGAUGUGAAAGCUCUGGGCUCAACCCAGAAAUGGCAUUGGAUACUAUCCGGCUAGGGGAAUGGAGGGGGGACUGGAAUACUUGGUGUAGCAGUGAAAUGCGCAGAUAUCAGGAAGAACACCCGUGGCUAAGGCGGCUCUCUAGUACGGUACUGACGCUGAGACGCGAAAGCGUGGGGAGCGAACAGG